rnacentral:lncRNA from 1 species
UUUUCCGUGUCUCUAUGAUUUUCUAUGAUCUGAAGAUCUUCUGCACUAAAAUCUUUUAUUAUAAGUAAUAAAGACAGAUGACCCAAAGAAUAUUUUAAUGUACUGGUUCUGUAUCAUUGUAUUCACACCUCCACAGAGACAUCAUUUCAUCACAAGAAAGCACUCAGUUUUAUAUGUGUUGAUUAUAAUUUCAAGUACCCUGCUACAGAAUAGCUGAAUCAUCUUUUCUUUAGAGCCAGGUCGGAUGCCUUAUGGCUCUUCGACUUCACUAGUGGGGCAGUUCAUAACCCUUUCCUGGGGACUGAGCAUUUCUCUCAGAAACAAUUCUGGCCACGGAGCAAGUAAUGAAAUGAGAACAAAAAAUAUUUCAUAUCGUGGGUCUUCUCCUUUCCUCUACAUCAAUAGUUUUACACCUCUGGAAAUCAUCAUGAGCUGAUCUCAAU